GGAUAGUUUUCAUAUACAUUUCUCCUCCUGCAUUUGCUUAAACUGCCAGUCUUAGAGCCUUAAAUAAGAUGCACUCAGCUGAAAAUUGUCCUUCACUGAGGAGACACGCUGUUCCUACUGAGGGAGAUAAUCCAGCAUUGUAUAUUUUUGUGCACAGAGGAAAGCAAGAUACUCAUCAGAGACUCAGCUAUUCCUCCAUUCCGAAGCAUCCCAGAGGAAUUUCUGAAGGCAGGAGGGAAUCCUGAGAGACAGAUAAGCAGAACAGAAGAAGACUUCUGUGGACAGAUUCAGGAAGAAGGAGGAUCCUUCCAGCUAUCCUGCAAGAGACUCCCCUAUGCUGCAUUGAGAAUAAUACUCAGGUUAGAGAUGCUUCGAGAUCCUCCCUGCAAAAUCUUUGCCUUGGCACUUGGCUCCCAGGGAGUCUCAUUUAUGUGUCCCACCAUAAAUCAUGGCUAGCUUAGAGACUAGAAGUGGGAACUGACCACAUCUCUACCUGCUUUCCUGGAAGAAGAUGAAACAGAGUUAUCAGCCGUGGGAGUCAAAGAGAACUAACUAAA
rnacentral:lncRNA from 1 species